rnacentral:snRNA from 1 species
AGCUUUGCACAGUGGUAGUAUCGUAGCCAGUGAGGUUAAUCUAAGGCACAAUAAUUGCUAAUUGGAGUGCAGGUAUACUUUGACAGAUUUCUGGUAUAUAAGCACUGAACUUA